rnacentral:rRNA from 1 species
UUUUAUGAGAGUUUGAUCCUGGCUCAGGACGAACGCUGGCGGCGUGCCUAAUACAUGCAAGUCGUACGCUUCUUUUUCCACCGGAGCUUGCUCCACCGGAAAAAGAAGAGUGGCGAACGGGUGAGUAACACGUGGGUAACCUGCCCAUCAGAAGGGGAUAACACUUGGAAACAGGUGCUAAUACCGUAUAACAAUCGAAACCGCAUGGUUUUGAUUUGAAAGGCGCUUUCGGGUGUCGCUGAUGGAUGGACCCGCGGUGCAUUAGCUAGUUGGUGAGGUAACGGCUCACCAAGGCCACGAUGCAUAGCCGACCUGAGAGGGUGAUCGGCCACAUUGGGACUGAGACACGGCCCAAACUCCUACGGGAGGCAGCAGUAGGGAAUCUUCGGCAAUGGACGAAAGUCUGACCGAGCAACGCCGCGUGAGUGAAGAAGGUUUUCGGAUCGUAAAACUCUGUUGUUAGAGAAGAACAAGGAUGAGAGUAACUGUUCAUCCCUUGACGGUAUCUAACCAGAAAGCCACGGCUAACUACGUGCCAGCAGCCGCGGUAAUACGUAGGUGGCAAGCGUUGUCCGGAUUUAUUGGGCGUAAAGCGAGCGCAAGCGGUUUCUUAAGUCUGAUGUGAAAGCCCCCGGCUCAACCGGGGAGGGUCAUUGGAAACUGGGAGACUUGAGUGCAGAAGAGGAGAGUGGAAUUCCAUGUGUAGCGGUGAAAUGCGUAGAUAUAUGGAGGAACACCAGUGGCGAAGGCGGCUCUCUGGUCUGUAACUGACGCUGAGGCUCGAAAGCGUGGGGAGCAAACAGGAUUAGAUACCCUGGUAGUCCACGCCGUAAACGAUGAGUGCUAAGUGUUGGAGGGUUUCCGCCCUUCAGUGCUGCAGCUAACGCAUUAAGCACUCCGCCUGGGGAGUACGACCGCAAGGUUGAAACUCAAAGGAAUUGACGGGGGCCCGCACAAGCGGUGGAGCAUGUGGUUUAAUUCGAAGCAACGCGAAGAACCUUACCAGGUCUUGACAUCCUUUGACCACUCUAGAGAUAGAGCUUCCCCUUCGGGGGCAAAGUGACAGGUGGUGCAUGGUUGUCGUCAGCUCGUGUCGUGAGAUGUUGGGUUAAGUCCCGCAACGAGCGCAACCCUUAUUGUUAGUUGCCAUCAUUCAGUUGGGCACUCUAGCAAGACUGCCGGUGACAAACCGGAGGAAGGUGGGGAUGACGUCAAAUCAUCAUGCCCCUUAUGACCUGGGCUACACACGUGCUACAAUGGGAAGUACAACGAGUCGCGAAGUCGCGAGGCUAAGCUAAUCUCUUAAAGCUUCUCUCAGUUCGGAUUGCAGGCUGCAACUCGCCUGCAUGAAGCCGGAAUCGCUAGUAAUCGCGGAUCAGCACGCCGCGGUGAAUACGUUCCCGGGCCUUGUACACACCGCCCGUCACACCACGAGAGUUUGUAACACCCGAAGUCGGUGAGGUAACCUUUUUGGAGCCAGCCGCCUAAGGUGGGAUAGAUGAUUGGGGUGAAGUCGUAACAAGGUAGCCGUAUCGGAAGGUGCGGCUGGAUCACCUCCUUUCUAAGGAA